UACGAAGGGGGCUAGCGUUGUUCGGAAUCACUGGGCGUAAAGCGCACGUAGGCGGAUGUGUCAGUCAGGGGUGAAAUCCCGGGGCUCAACCUCGGAACUGCCUCUGAUACAGCACAUCUUGAGUCCGGAAGAGGUGGGUGGAAUUCCUAGUGUAGAGGUGAAAUUCGUAGAUAUUAGGAAGAACACCGGUGGCGAAGGCGGCCCACUGGUCCGGUACUGACGCUGAGGUGCGAAAGCGUGGGGAGCAAACA
rnacentral:rRNA from 1 species